UACGGGGGGAGCAAGCGUUGUUCGGAUUUACUGGGCGUAAAGGGCGCGUAGGCGGCCUGUGCAAGUCAGUUGUGAAAUCUCCGAGCUUAACUCGGAAAGGUCAACUGAUACUGCGGGGCUAGAGUGCGGAAGGGGCAACUGGAAUUCUCGGUGUAGCGGUGAAAUGCGUAGAUAUCGAGAGGAACACCUGCGGCGAAGGCGGGUUGCUGGGCCGACACUGACGCUGAUGCGCGAAAGCCAGGGGAGCGAACGGG
rnacentral:rRNA from 1 species